CAGAUCCCUGCGAGCAUUUUCAAAAUUCAGUUAUUUUAGACAACAGGCACAUAUGCAAUACUGACAUAAUCUCAAAUACCACUAAGCAGCUGGGACACAUUUUUGUUGACCAUACUCGCAGGUAAAAUAAGUAGAUUAUGUGGACAGCUGCAGCUCAUUUUCCUUAAAUCAGUGUGUACAAGGGGUAUGCAAAAAUAAUUUUUUUCUCGCGCACAGAUUCUUUUGCUGUAUAAGCAAGAGAAGCCACCACGUUAGUGUAACGUAUCUUGUACAUCACACUAAUAAGUGCUUUAAUUUACCAAGUGAGAUGAGUUACUUUUAUGGAUCAUUCAGUCAUAUCACACUGCAAGCUGCAUUCAUCAAUCUUCAAUUGGAUUUCGCAUGAAACAUGUUUCCCUUUUAUGCAGAUAUGCAAUGGCAAGCCCUUCCGUGUGUUCCAAAGGUAAAAUUUAAGCUCGAAAUUAAAGAAGACAUUUCUAGUUAGAAACAAGCAAAAAUGGUGAAUGCAGAGUAUCAGAAGCCCAAGGUACAGAAAUUAUGAGAAGUGUCGAAUGAUUUUAAGGAAAGAAUGGUAUUUGAAGAUGCAAGAUUCUUUAGUGGAAAUCAAGCAAGUCAGUAUAGGUAGAAUACUCUGAGAAAUUAUGCGAGUAAUGGGAUAGCACACAAUGGGUCAGGAAAUGCGUUGUUUUUCUGAAAAACUAAAGCUGAUGACUGUCAUAUCAUGAGUCACUUUAGCAUCAUAAGACUGCUGUUUGAUAAAUUCAGAAACAAACCAAAAAGCAAGUCAUGCAAAAAUAAAAAAUAAAACUAUUUAAUGAUGCUCUCUCCACACUGGGAUAAAUAAUAAGAAACGGAUCACGUCUAAUGUGGACAUAUCAGACACCUUGUGAAACACUAAAGGAAAAAUUCAGUUUCGAGCUAUGGCACUUGCCGCAUAGAUUUGGGGGGCCUUGCACCAAUAGUAAUAGUUACCACUGCAUCUAGAAAUUUAAAGCAUUCAUGCAGACAAGGAUGAUUAUAUUUUUGGCUACCACGUCAAAUGCCUCCACUAAGUGUUACAAUGCUGCAUGCAGCCAUACUAAGGAUCUCACAGCAACACUUGCAGGUAAACAGGAAAAGCAGUUAAAGUGCUGGUGUAUUCUGGACACUGUCUUUGAAAACUUUUAGGCAAGAACAGUGCGAGAAACAGACAUAAGAACUGCAUUUAUUUCUAUAAUUCCCCAUUUGAAUGGCCUUUUCUUUUUCCUUCGACAAUGCCUUCGCCUAGCCACAGCAGCUCCCUCAUACAGACUCCGCAAGCCAAGAGGCCGUGGAGGCAAAUGCAGACAGCCGGCACACCUCGAACAGCCACCUUGACUGCGGGUGUGUCACCCUAGUCGCCAAGGAAACAUUUGAGGGAAAGCGACAGGCAAUGUGAACAGCCACUUUUCCAUGUAAACGAUACUCUUUCUCUCGGAUGACUCCUACGUUUUGCCACGCCAAUACACUUGUGCACAAAGAUGCCGCGGAGGCACGUGCAGGUCAGAGGCAAGAAGCAGUGGCACUGGUGUCAACAUUCGCCCAAUUUCUUUUUCUUACACUGAGGCAGCCAGCACACCUCGAACAGCCACCUUAACUGCGGGUGUGUUAGUAGAUUCCUGAUGUACAUAUGCUCAUAAUAAACUUCAGUAAACUUGAACUUGAUAAUAAACUUGAAGGCAAAUGGGA